rnacentral:rRNA from 1 species
UGUCACGGGGUUAGUUUCCGACCCCCGUGUGGCGUCCCCAAGUCCCGGGGACAAGCCAAUCCAUCCCGCUUCUUUGUGUGGGUCACUGGUUUCGUCCUGCCUUGGACUCAUCAGGAGAGCGGCGCCAGCUCUCGACCAGUGGUGCGUUCGUCGUUUGCACGACUAGGCACGUACACCUCUUCAUUGACACUGACUCCGUCCCCCGAUAAAGUCCAGGACUAGCCAGUGACCCAAGCGUUCAAGCACAGCCCAUAGCAUUGCGAUCUUCAAACAUUUGGCCCGUGACACUCUCCCACCACCAUUUCAUGCACGUCCUCGUGCAUGCUCGCCGUCCCAUACCAGCUCGCAUACUUGACAAUGCAUGAUCCCCUUAUGUUGAGCAUGAUUCACUUUGGGAGGGUAGGACACCCGGAAGCACAGCAACAAUGAUCUUCUGUCGUGCAUGUUCAAUAAGUACGUCAGUUUUGGUUUUAAGUGGCGCUGACGUCCGCCGCAUCGGAUUAGGUGCCGAUGUUUCACCUUGUUUCAGGAAUAUGGGAAACCUGAAUAAUUGUAGCAGCUUUCACAAAACUUCCCUUUUUACGGUGCUGCUUGGACCGUAGAUUUUUGAACAUAACACGGAGGGCUUCACUGCAACUAUACUUGAGCGGCUCUCACGAUCCCAUACUCGCGGAGUACAAAGACCUUUGCCGAAGCAAACCCAUAUUUGGUCUUCUCCCACCACCAUUGCGCAACCAUACUCUAAAUGUUAAGCUCAUUUGGUCAAGAGUCACGUUCCAACGUAUCCGAGAAUCGUUCUGCUCUGAUACCAAGUUGUCACGGGGUUAGUUUCCGACCCCCGUGUGGCGUCCCCAAGUCCCGGGGACAAGCCAAUCCAUCCCGCUUCUUUGUGUGGGUCACUGGUUUCGUCCUGCCUUGGACUCAUCAGGAGAGCGGCGCCAGCUCUCGACCAGUGGUGCGUUCGUCGUUUGCACGACUAGGCACGUACACCUCUUCAUUGACACUGACUCCGUCCCCCGAUAAAGUCCAGGACUAGCCAGUGACCCAAGCGUUCAAGCACAGCCCAUAGCAUUGCGAUCUUCAAACAUUUGGCCCGUGACACUACGCU